rnacentral:rRNA from 1 species
GUGAGGAAUAUUGGUCAAUGGCCGCAGGGCUGAACCAGCCAAGUCGCGUGAGGGAUGACGGUCCUAUGGAUUGUAAACCUCUUUUGUCAGGGAGCAAAGGGCGCCACGUGUGGCGCUUUGCGAGUACCUGAAGAAAAAGCAUCGGCUAACUCCGUGCCAGCAGCCGCGGUAAUACGGAGGAUGCGAGCGUUAUCCGGAUUUAUUGGGUUUAAAGGGUGCGCAGGCGGAAUGUCAAGUCAGCGGUAAAAUUUCGGGGCUCAACCCCGUCGUGCCGUUGAAACUGGCGUUCUUGAGUGAGCGAGAAGUAUGCGGAAUGCGUGGUGUAGCGGUGAAAUGCAUAGAUAUCACGCAGAACUCCGAUUGCGAAGGCAGCAUACCGGCGCUCAACUGACGCUCAUGCACGAAAGCGUGGGUAUCGAACAGG